AGAGUUUGAUCAUGGCUCAGAUUGAACGCUGGCGGCAGGCCUAACACAUGCAAGUCGAGCGGUAACACAGAGAGCUUGCUCUCGGGUGACGAGCGGCGGACGGGUGAGUAAUGUCUGGGAAACUGCCUGAUGGAGGGGGAUAACUACUGGAAACGGUAGCUAAUACCGCAUAACGUCGCAAGACCAAAGUGGGGGACCUUCGGGCCUCAUGCCAUCAGAUGUGCCCAGAUGGGAUUAGCUAGUAGGUGGGGUAAUGGCUCACCUAGGCGACGAUCCCUAGCUGGUCUGAGAGGAUGACCAGCCACACUGGAACUGAGACACGGUCCAGACUCCUACGGGAGGCAGCAGUGGGGAAUAUUGCACAAUGGGCGAAGGCCUGAUGCAGCCAUGCCGCGUGUAUGAAGAAGGCCUUCGGGUUGUAAAGUACUUUCAGCGAGGAGGAAGGCGUUAAGGUUAAUAACCUUGGCGAUUGACGUUACUCGCAGAAGAAGCACCGGCUAACUCCGUGCCAGCAGCCGCGGUAAUACGGAGGGUGCAAGCGUUAAUCGGAAUUACUGGGCGUAAAGCGCACGCAGGCGGUCUGUCAAGUCGGAUGUGAAAUCCCCGGGCUCAACCUGGGAACUGCAUUCGAAACUGGCAGGCUAGAGUCUUGUAGAGGGGGGUAGAAUUCCAGGUGUAGCGGUGAAAUGCGUAGAGAUCUGGAGGAAUACCGGUGGCGAAGGCGGCCCCCUGGACAAAGACUGACGCUCAGGUGCGAAAGCGUGGGGAGCAAACAGGAUUAGAUACCCUGGUAGUCCACGCCGUAAACGAUGUCGACUUGGAGGUUGUGCCCUUGAGGCGUGGCUUCCGGAGCUAACGCGUUAAGUCGACCGCCUGGGGAGUACGGCCGCAAGGUUAAAACUCAAAUGAAUUGACGGGGGCCCGCACAAGCGGUGGAGCAUGUGGUUUAAUUCGAUGCAACGCGAAGAACCUUACCUACUCUUGACAUCCAGAGAACUUAGCAGAGAUGCUUUGGUGCCUUCGGGAACUCUGAGACAGGUGCUGCAUGGCUGUCGUCAGCUCGUGUUGUGAAAUGUUGGGUUAAGUCCCGCAACGAGCGCAACCCUUAUCCUUUGUUGCCAGCGGUCCGGCCGGGAACUCAAAGGAGACUGCCAGUGAUAAACUGGAGGAAGGUGGGGAUGACGUCAAGUCAUCAUGGCCCUUACGAGUAGGGCUACACACGUGCUACAAUGGCAUAUACAAAGAGAAGCGACCUCGCGAGAGCAAGCGGACCUCAUAAAGUAUGUCGUAGUCCGGAUUGGAGUCUGCAACUCGACUCCAUGAAGUCGGAAUCGCUAGUAAUCGUAGAUCAGAAUGCUACGGUGAAUACGUUCCCGGGCCUUGUACACACCGCCCGUCACACCAUGGGAGUGGGUUGCAAAAGAAGUAGGUAGCUUAACCUUCGGGAGGGCGCUUACCACUUUGUGAUUCAUGACUGGGGUGAAGUCGUAACAAGGUAACCGUAGGGGAACCUGCGGUUG
rnacentral:rRNA from 1 species